UGGAGAUAGCUGGUUCUCUCCGAAAUAGCUUUAGGGCUAGCCUCAAGUGAUGAUUAUUGGAGGUAGAGCACUGUUUGGACGAGGGGCCCCUCUCGGGUUACCGAAUUCAGACAAACUCCGAAUGCCAAUUAAUUUAACUUGGGAGUCAGAACAUGGGUGAUAAGGUCCGUGUUCGAAAGGGAAACAGCCCAGACCACCAGCUAAGGUCCCAAAAUAUAUGUUAAGUGGAAAAGGAUGUGGCGUUGCCCAGACAACUAGGAUGUUGGCUUAGAAGCAGCCAUCAUUUAAAGAGUGCGUAAUAGCUCACUAGUCGAGUGACACUGCGCCGAAAAUGUACCGGGGCUAAACAUAUUACCGAAGCUGUGGAUUGUCCUUUGGACAAUGGUAGGAGAGCGUUCUAAGGGCGUUGAAGCAUGAUCGUAAGGACAUGUGGAGCGCUUAGAAGUGAGAAUGCCGGUGUGAGUAGCGAAAGACGGGUGAGAAUCCCGUCCACCGAUUGACUAAGGUUUCCAGAGGAAGGCUCGUCCGCUCUGGGUUAGUCGGGUCCUAAGCUGAGGCCGACAGGCGUAGGCGAUGGAUAACAGGUUGAUAUUCCUGUACCACCUAUAAUCGUUUUAAUCGAUGGGGGGACGCAGUAGGAUAGGCGAAGCGUGCGAUUGGAUUGCACGUCUAAGCAGUAAGGCUGAGUAUUAGGCAAAUCCGGUACUCGUUAAGGCUGAGCUGUGAUGGGGAGAAGACAUUGAGUCUUCGAGUCGUUGAUUUCACACUGCCGAGAAAAGCCUCUAGAUAGAAAAUAGGUGCCCGUACCGCAAACCGACACAGGUAGUCAAGAUGAGAAUUCUAAGGUGAGCGAGCGAACUCUCGUUAAGGAACUCGGCAAAAUGACCCCGUAACUUCGGGAGAAGGGGUGCUCUUUAGGGUUAACGCCCAGAAGAGCCGCAGUGAAUAGGCCCAAGCGACUGUUUAUCAAAAACACAGGUCUCUGCUAAACCGUAAGGUGAUGUAUAGGGGCUGACGCCUGCCCGGUGCUGGAAGGUUAAGAGGAGUGGUUAGCUUCUGCGAAGCUACGAAUCGAAGCCCCAGUAAACGGCGGCCGUAACUAUAACGGUCCUAAGGUAGCGAAAUUCCUUGUCGGGUAAGUUCCGACCCGCACGAAAGGCGUAACGAUUUGGGCACUGUCUCAACGAGAGACUCGGUGAAAUCAUAGUACCUGUGAAGAUGCAGGUUACCCGCGACAGGACGGAAAGACCCCGUGGAGCUUUACUGUAGCCUGAUAUUGAAAUUCGGCACAGCUUGUACAGGAUAGGUAGGAGCCUUUGAAACGUGAGCGCUAGCUUACGUGGAGGCGCUGGUGGGAUACUACCCUAGCUGUGUUGGCUUUCUAACCCGCACCACUUAUCGUGGUGGGAGACAGUGUCAGGCGGGCAGUUUGACUGGGGCGGUCGCCUCCUAAAAGGUAACGGAGGCGCUCAAAGGUUCCCUCAGAAUGGUUGGAAAUCAUUCAUAGAGUGUAAAGGCAUAAGGGAGCUUGACUGCGAGACCUACAAGUCGAGCAGGGUCGAAAGACGGACUUAGUGAUCCGGUGGUUCCGCAUGGAAGGGCCAUCGCUCAACGGAUAAAAGCUACCCCGGGGAUAACAGGCUUAUCUCCCCCAAGAGUUCACAUCGACGGGGAGGUUUGGCACCUCGAUGUCGGCUCAUCGCAUCCUGGGGCUGUAGUCGGUCCCAAGGGUUGGGCUGUUCGCCCAUUAAAGCGGUACGCGAGCUGGGUUCAGAACGUCGUGAGACAGUUCGGUCCCUAUCCGUCGUGGGCGUAGGAAAUUUGAGAGGAGCUGUCCUUAGUACGAGAGGACCGGGAUGGACAUACCUCUGGUGUACCAGUUGUCGUGCCAACGGCAUAGCUGGGUAGCUAUGUGUGGACGGGAUAAGUGCUGAAAGCAUCUAAGCAUGAAGCCCCCC
rnacentral:rRNA from 1 species